rnacentral:rRNA from 1 species
AACGAACGCUGGCGGCAGGCCUAACACAUGCAAGUCGAACGAGAAGCCACCUUCGGGUGGUGGACAGUGGCAGACGGGUGAGUAACGCGUGGGAACGUGCCUUUCGGUUCGGGAUAACCCAGGGAAACUUGGGCUAAUACCGGAUACGCCUCCGGGGAAGGAUUCAUUGCCGAAAGAUCGGCCCGCGUCGGAUUAGCUAGUUGGUAGGGGGU